rnacentral:rRNA from 1 species
CCUACGGGUGGCUGCAGUGGGGAAUAUUGCACAAUGGGCGCAAGCCUGAUGCAGCCAUGCCGCGUGUGUGAAGAAGGCCUUCGGGUUGUAAAGCACUUUCAGCGGGGAGGAAGGCGUUAAGGUUAAUAACCUUGGCGAUUGACGUUACCCGCAGAAGAAGCACCGGCUAACUCCGUGCCAGCAGCCGCGGUAAUACGGAGGGUGCAAGCGUUAAUCGGAAUUACUGGGCGUAAAGCGCACGCAGGCGGUCAGUCAAGUCGGAUGUGAAAUCCCCGGGCUCAACCUGGGAACUGCAUUCGAAACUGGCAGGCUAGAGUCUUGUAGAGGGGGGUAGAAUUCCAGGUGUAGCGGUGAAAUGCGUUGAGAUCGGGAGGAAUACCGGUGGCGAAGGCGGCCCCCUGGACAAAGACUGACGCUCAGGUGCGAAAGCGUGGGGAGCAAACAGGAUUAGAUACCCGAGUAGUC